CCUACGGGAGGCAGCAGUGGGGGAUAUUGCACAAUGGGGGGAACCCUGAUGCAGCGACGCCGCGUGGGUGAAGAAGCGCCUCGGCGCGUAAAGCCCUGUCAGCAGGGAAGAAAAUGACGGUACCUGACGAAGAAGCCCCGGCUAACUACGUGCCAGCAGCCGCGGUAAUACGUAGGGGGCAAGCGUUAUCCGGAUUUACUGGGUGUAAAGGGGGCGCAGGCGGCGAUGCAAGCCAGGAGUGAAAGCCCGGGGCCCAACCCCGGGGCUGCUCUUGGAACUGCGUGGCUGGAGUGCAGGAGGGGCAGGCGGAAUUCCUGGUGUAGCGGUGAAAUGCGUAGAUAUCAGGAGGAACACCAGUGGCGAAGGCGGCCUGCUGGACUGCAACUGACGUUGAGGCCCGAAAGCGUGGGGAGCAAACAGGAUUAGAUACCCGAGUAGUC
rnacentral:rRNA from 1 species